rnacentral:rRNA from 1 species
GACGAACGCUGGCGGCGUGCCUAAUGCAUGCAAGUCGCACGCAGAGUGCUUGCACUCUGAGUGGCGCACGGCUGAGGACCACGUGGGAACAUGCCUCGGAGUGGGGGACAACACCGCGAAAGCGGUGCUAAUCCCGCAUACGUUCGCAAGAAGAAAGCUUGGCAACAAGCGCUCCGAGAGUGGCCCGCGGCCCAUCAGGUCGUAGGUGGGGUAACGGCCUACCUAGCCGAUGACGGGUAGCUGGUCUGUGAGGACAGACAGCCAGACUGGGACUGGGACACGGCCCAGACUCCUACGGGAGGCAGCAGCAAGGAAUUUUCGUCAAUGGGCGCAAGCCUGAACGAGCAACGCCGCGUGGAGGAUGACGGCCUUCGGGUUGUAAACUCCUUUUUCGAGGGACGAUUGUGACGGUACCUCGGGAAUAAGGCUCGGCUAACUCUGUGCCAGCCGCCGCCGUAACAC